rnacentral:rRNA from 1 species
UAUUGGAGGGCAAGUCUAGUGCCAGCAGCCGCGGUAAUUCUAGCUCCAAUAGCGUAUAUUAAAGUUGUUGCGGUUAAAAAGCUCGUAGUUGGAUCUCAGUUCCAGACGGGUGGUCCGCCUACCGGUGGUUACUGCCUGUUCUGAACAGCCAGCCGGUUUCUCUUGAUGAUCUUCACCGGUUGUCUUGGGUGACCGGCAAGUUUACUUUGAAAAAAUUAGAGUGCUCAAAGCAGGCGUGACGCCUGAAUAAUGGUGCAUGGAAUAAUGGAAUAGGACCUCGGUUCUAUUUUGUUGGUUUUCGGAACACGAGGUAAUGAUUAAGAGGGACAGACGGGGGCAUUCGUAUUGCGACGCUAGAGGUGAAAUUCUUGGACCGUCGCAAGACGAACUACUGCGAAAGCAUUUGCCAAGAAUGUUUCCAUUAAUCAAGAACGAAAGUUAGAGGUUCGAAGGCGAUCAGAUACCGCCCUAGUUCUAACCAUAAACGAUGCCAGCCAGCGAUCCGGCUGUGUUCCUCAAAUGACACGCCGGGCAGCUUCCGGGAAACCAAAGCUUUUGGGUUCCGGGGGAAGUAUGGUUGCAAAGCUGAAACUUAAAGGAAUUGACGGAGGGGCACCACCAGGAAUGGAGCCUGCGGCUUAAUUUGACUCAACACGGGAAAACUUACCCGGCCCGGACGCAGGAAGGAUUGACAGAUUAAGAGCUCUUUCUUGAUUCUGCGGGGUGUGGUGCAUGGCCGUUCUUAGUUGGUGGAUCGAUUUGUCUGGUUAAUUCCGUUAACGAACGAGACUCUAGCCUACUAAAUAGACGCUCCGAUCAUCUAWGUCGGACGUCCUUCUUAGAGGGACAAGCGGCGUCUAGCCGCACGAGACAGAGCAAUAACA